AUUGAACGCUGGCGGCAGGCCUAACACAUGCAAGUCGAGCGAGCGGCGGACGGGUGAGUAAUGUCUGGGAAACUGCCUGAUGGAGGGGGAUAACUACUGGAAACGGUAGCUAAUACCGCAUACCAUCAGAUGUGCCCCGAUGGGAUUAGCUAGUAGGUGGGGUAACGGCUCACCUAGGCGACGAUCCCUAGCUGGUCUGAGAGGAUGACCCGCAACACGGGAACUGAGACACGGUCCAGACUCCGACGGGAGGCAGAAGUGGGGAAUAUUGCACAAUGGGCGCAAGCCUGAUGCAGCCAUGCCGCGUGUGUGAAGAAGGCCUUCGGGUUGUAAAGCACGUUCAGCGGGGAGGCGUUACCCGCAGAAGAAGCACCGGCUAACUCCGUACCAGCAGCCGCGGUAAUAC
rnacentral:rRNA from 1 species